UCCUCAGUAGCUCAGCAGGUUAGAGCAUCUGACUGUUAAUCAGAGGGUCGCUGGUUCGAGCCCAGCUUCAGGAG
rnacentral:tRNA from 2 species